rnacentral:rRNA from 1 species
UAAUACGUAGGGUGCAAGCGUUGUCCGGAAUUACUGGGUGUAAAGGGUCCGCAGGCGGACGAGUAAGUCGGGGGUGAAAUCUGCCCGCUCAACGGGCAAAUUGCCUUCGAUACUGCUUGUCUUGAGUCCGGGAGAGGGUAGUGGAAUUCCUGGUGUAGCAGUGAAAUGCGUAGAUAUCAGGAAGAACACCAGUUGCGAAGGCGGCUACCUGGCCCGAGACUGACGCUCAGGGACGAAAGCGUGGGGAGCAAACAGGAUUAGAUACCCUGGUAGUCCACGCCCUAAACGAUGGGUACUAGGUGCUGGCUCGCAAGGGUCAGUGUCGAAGUUAACACAUUAAGUACCCCACCUGGGGAGUACGAUCGCAAGGUUG